GAGCUAGACCCAGGAAUAACUCGACUUUUGCUCCUCUAAUGAAGGAGCCUAAGCAGCUGAGCUGCUUUUGUGCAGGUAAAACGGAGUCAGAGGGGACAGAGAAUCCGUCUCACUGGACGCUGCCAAGGAAGUGAACACUCUGUUCCCAUUACCUGUAAGGGAUUUAAACCAGAGAAAUCUUCCUUCUAUUUUCAGGUGAGGACAGGGGGCGGGAGUCAGUGGAGGCUCGGGACUCAGACUGUGCACAAAAUUUCAGGUGCCUUGACCUCUCAGCACUCCAUUCUCAUGAUCCUUAUUACCUACUUCAAUCUUUUCAAAAUGUGAGAGCAGACUUUCCCUUUGAUAUAAAUAUUUAGAACAGGGAGAUUUGGGCACACAUCAUUCUAAGUGAGUGUAACAGGGGUCCUUUUAUAACCUUCAGCUUCUUUCCAUCCCAUCCUCCACCCCCAAUAAGUGACACACAGGACUCUAACCUUGCAAAGGAGGACCCUUAGCUUGUCUGCUGAGAUAGCUUCACAUCACUACUAGCCACAGUGAGCAAAACCACCCCAGCAAAUAUGAUUUCCACCCUCCUUCUUUCCACCAUACAAAUAUGUGUCCAGCCUUCCUUUUCCUGCACUGGGUAAAUGCAACAGGAAAAUUACUUUCAGACAUCAGCUACUUUCAGAAAUCAUCUCAACCCAGGAAACUGAUUCUCCCGGUAGAGAA